GACGAACGCUGGCGGCGUGCUUAACACAUGCAAGUCGAACGGAAAGGUCCUGCUUUUGUGGGGCGCUCGAGUGGCGAAAGGGUGAGUAACACGUGAGUAACCUGCCCUUGACUCUGGGAUAACUUGAGGAAACUGGGGCUAAUACAGGAUCGGAUAUCGCGCUGCAUGGUGGGGGUUGGAAAGUUACGGCGGUUGGGGAUGGACUCGGGGCCUAACAGAUUGUCGGUGGGGUAGUGGCUUACUAAGGCUUUGACGGGUAGCCGGCCUGAGAGGGUGACCGGCCACAGAGGAACUGGGGUACGGCCCAGACGGCUACGGGAGGCAGCAGUGAAGGAUAGAGCACAAAGGGCGGAAGCCUGGUGCAGCGACGCCGCGUGCGAGAUGACGGCCUUCAGGUUGGAAACCGCUUGCUACUGUGACGAAGCGUGAGGGACGGAAAUAGGCAGAGUAGCACCGGUUAACUACGG
rnacentral:rRNA from 1 species